rnacentral:rRNA from 1 species
GGGGAAUUUUCCGCAAUGGGCGAAAGCCUGACGGAGCAAUACCGCGUGAGGGAGGAAGGCUUUUGGGUUGUAAACCUCUUUUAUUAAGGAAGAAUCAAGUGGCGGUACUUAAAGAAUCAGCAUCGGCUAACUCCGUGCCAGCAGCCGCGGUAAUACGGAGGAUGCAAGCGUUAUCCGGAAUCAUUGGGCGUAAAGCGUCCGCAGGUGGCUAAUCAAGUCUGCUGUUAAAGACCAGAGCUCAACUCUGGGCCGGCGGUGGAAACUGGAGAGCUAGAGUACGGUAGGGGUAGAGGGAAUUCCCAGUGUAGCGGUGAAAUGCGUAGAGAUUGGGAAGAACACCAGUGGCGAAGGCGCUCUACUGGACCGUAACUGACACUCAGGGACGAAAGCUAGGGGAGCGAAUGGGAUUAGAUACCCCAGUAGUCA